UAGGGAAUAUUGGGCAAUGGCGGAAACGCUGACCCAGCCAUGCCGCGUGCAGGAUGAAGGCCUUCUGGGUUGUAAACUGCUUUUACCAGGGAAGAAAAUACCUUUGCGAAGGGAACUGACGGUACCUGGUGAAUAAGCACCGGCUAACUCCGUGCCAGCAGCCGCGGUAAUACGGAGGGUGCAAGCGUUGUCCGGAUUUAUUGGGUUUAAAGGGUGCGUAGGCGGCUUGAUAAGUCCGUGGUGAAAGCCAACAGCUCAACUGUUGAACUGCCAUGGAUACUGUCAGGCUUGAGUACAGACGAGGUAGGCGGAAUGGAUCGUGUAGCGGUGAAAUGCAUAGAUACGAUCCAGAACUCCGAUUGCGAAGGCAGCUUACUAGGCUGUAACUGACGCUGAGGCACGAAAGCGUGGGGAGCGAACAGG
rnacentral:rRNA from 1 species